CCAGACUCCUACGGGAGGCAGCAGUGGGGAAUAUUGCACAAUGGGGGAAACCCUGAUGCAGCAACGCCGCGUGAGUGAAGAAGUAUUUCGGUAUGUAAAGCUCUAUCAGCAGGGAAGAAGAAAGACGGUACCUGACUAAGAAGCCCCGGCUAACUACGUGCCAGCAGCCGCGGUAAUACGUAGGGGGCAAGCGUUAUCCGGAUUUACUGGGUGUAAAGGGAGCGUAGACGGCCAUGCAAGCCUGAUGUGAAAGGUGUGGGCACAACCCGCACACUGCAUUGGGAACUGUAUGGCUAGAGUGUCGGAGGGGCAGGCGGAAUUCCUGGUGUGGCGGUGAAAUGCGUAGAUAUCAGGAGGAACACCGGUGGCGAAGGCGGCCUGCUGGACUGCGACUGACGUUGAGGCCCGAAAGCGUGGGGAGCAAACAGG
rnacentral:rRNA from 1 species